AUUUUUCACAUGCAUAAAAAAAAAUUACUGCCAUUCUAACCAAAACAGCUGCUAGUAUCACCGGCCGGCGGGGGAGAUUUUAUUUUAGACUCAGCUUGACGGACGGAAUCUUCCAGAUACCCUCACUCCCACGUGGCACGCAAUGAUCGACAUUUUUUUAACUAUAGCUAUAGCUGGAUCUUCUCUCUCUAUCAAUGUUGCCUCUUCUGCAGAGCUCGGUUUACACCAACCAGAGAAACGCUAAUUUUCAACCAGGUAAGCAAAAUUCUGUAUUCGUUUCAUUUUUUUCUUUGAUCUGUUUCCUUAUAACCAAUUUCAGAGGAAUUUAAUUGCUCUUUUGGUUGUGAUUGGUU